rnacentral:precursor_RNA from 13 species
GAGGGGGCUGCCGGAUGGCCGCCGGCCGGAGCCCUUUUGCCGUUGUGCUACUGAGCGUGAGGAGCAGUGCAAUGGUAAAAGGGCAUCGGCUGGCGGGGUCCCCGCCGGGCCGCCGC